UUAUCAGCACGAUUUCUCUAUCUCUAAAUUCAGAGCCUCAACGCUCUCUCUUUUUCUCUCCUCACAACUCUAUGCACCUCCUCUCAAUUCUGGUUCUUGGAACCGAAUUUUUGGCCUGCUGAUAAGAAAGCAAGACUCUGCAAUAAUGAGUUUCUCUUUCAAACCACACCACAAAGCCCAACUUCAUUUCUUCAGCUCUCAUAUAUCUGUCAAGCAAUUUAGCAAACAGUUUGCGAGCAUGUCCAGGGCAACCGUUGAGCUCGAUUUCUUCGGCAUGGAUCAGCAUCGUGACCCUUCCUCCCCCUGAUGUGUGUAGAAUCAAUCUCACCCAGCAAAUCCAAAC
rnacentral:lncRNA from 1 species